rnacentral:rRNA from 1 species
UGGGUCUCGCUCGUUGCCUGACUUAACAGGAUGCUUCACAGUACGAACUGACGACGGCCAUGCACCACCUCUCAGCUAAUCCGGCAAAGUCUUCAGCCUGGCCUUCAUAUUGCUGUCGGUCCCGGUAAGAUUUCCGGCGUUGAAUCCAAUUAAACCGCAAGCUCCACCCGUUGUGGUGCUCCCCCGCCAAUUCCUUUAAGUUUCAGCCUUGCGGCCGUACUUCCCAGGUGGCUCGCUUCACGGCUUCCCUACGGCACCGACAACGGUCGCACCGUGGCCGACACCUAGCGAGUAUCGUUUACGGCUAGGACUACCCGGGUAUCUAAUCCGGUUCGUGCCCCUAGCUUUCGUCCCUUGCCGUCAGGUCCGUUCUGGUGAGACGCCUUCGCCACUGGUGGUCCUUCAAGGAUUACAAGAUUUCACCCCUACCCCUGAAGUACCUCUCACCUCUCCCGGCCUCGAGCCAGACAGUAUCUCCUGAAAGCCUGACAGUUAAGCUGCCAGAUUUCUCAAGAGACUUAUCCGGCCGGCUACAGACCCUUUAGACCCAAUAAUAACGGUUACCACUCGAGCCGCCGGUGUUACCGCGGCGGCUGGCACCGGUCUUGCCCGGCCCUUGCUAUGAAAUGCUUUUUAGGCAUCUCGACAGCCAGAUUUGUAACCUGGCACUCGAGGUUCCCUUAUCGCUGUUGCCAGCAUUGUAAAGUUUUCGCGCCUGCUGCACCCCGUAGGGCCUGGAUUCGUGUCUCAGAAUCCAUCUCCGGGCUCUUGCUCUCACAACC